UACAGAGGGUGCAAGCGUUAAUCGGAAUUACUGGGCGUAAAGCGUGCGUAGACGGUUAUGUAAGUCGGGUGUGAAAGCCCCGGGCUCAACCUGGGAAUGCCAUUCGAGACUGCAUAGCUAGGGUGCGGAAGGGGGAAGCGGAAUUUCCGGUGUAGCGGUGAAAUGCGUAGAUAUCGGAAGGAACACCAGUGGCGAAAGCGGCUUCCUGGUCCAGCACCGACGUUCAGGCACGAAAGCGUGGGGAGCAAACAGG
rnacentral:rRNA from 1 species